rnacentral:tRNA from 1 species
GCCCCAGUAGCUCAGCUGGUCAGAGCGGUAGCCUUGUAAGCUACAGGUCCCGAGUUCAAACCUCGGUUGGGGCU